UAACGGUCCUAAGGUAGCGAAAUUCCUUGUCGGGUAAGUUCCGACCCGCACGAAAGGCGUAACGAUUUGGGCACUGUCUCAACGAGAGACUCGGUGAAAUCAUAGUACCUGUGAAGAUGCAGGUUACCCGCGACAGGACGGAAAGACCCCGUGGAGCUUUACUGUAGCCUGAUAUUGAAAUUCGGCACAGCUUGUACAGGAUAGGUAGGAGCCUUUGAAACGUGAGCGCUAGCUUACGUGGAGGCGUUGGUGGGAUACUACCCUAGCUGUGUUGGCUUUCUAACCCGCACCACUUAUCGUGGUGGGAGACAGUGUCAGGCGGGCAGUUUGACUGGGGCGGUCGCCUCCUAAAAGGUAACGGAGGCGCUCAAAGGUUCCCUCAGAAUGGUUGGAAAUCAUUCAUAGAGUGUAAAGGCAUAAGGGAGCUUGACUGCGAGACCUACAAGUCGAGCAGGGUCGAAAGACGGACUUAGUGAUCCGGGGGUUCCGCCUGGAAGGGCCCUCGCUCAACGGAUAAAAGCUACCCC
rnacentral:rRNA from 1 species